UACAGAGGUGGCAAGCGUUGUUCGGAAUUACUGGGCGUAAAGGGCGCGUAGGCGGCCUCCUAAGUCAGACGUGAAAUCCCCCGGCUUAACCUGGGAACUGCGUCUGAUACUGGAAGGCUUGAGGAUGUGAGAGGGAUGUAGAAUUCCAGGUGUAGCGGUGAAAUGCGUAGAUAUCUGGAGGAAUACCGGUGGCGAAGGCGGCAUCCUGGACCAUUACUGACGCUGAGGCGCGAAAGCUAGGGGAGCAAACGGG
rnacentral:rRNA from 1 species